UCCGGGAACUCGGCUCCAGACUUCCGGGACAGAGGAGGCUUUUCUUCUCAAAAAUCCACCAGACUCCCUUGGUGCUCUUUUGUUUUACAGUGGAAAACUACAAUUAAAAAAACAUAGCCAUGAAAAUAAGUGCGAGUAGAACCUGCCGGCUUCACUUCCUGGAGGCUUUUUGUUGGGUCUUGAAACUGGGAAUCUUUGCGGGUCAUCCUUAAAUUCAUCUUGAUUCAAGUGAUCAGAAACUGACUCUCUGUACAUUUCCUGAAGACAGGCACAACAGAAUGUCUCAGUUCUCUCUAUUCUGUAUUUCUGUAAGAUGCAACGAGACAUAGAGGGGCAUGUGGUCUCAGGAAUUAAACAAACCUGGUUUGGAUUCCUGCUAGGUACUUGCUGUGCAAUGUUAGGCAAGUUAUUUACUAUCCUUGAGCUUGUUUCCUUAAAAAUAGAUAUGAUAAAACUACCUCCUUGGAUUAUUGAA